rnacentral:misc_RNA from 1 species
CCAAUAGCGUAUAUUAGUGUUGUUGCGGUUAAAAAGCUCGUAGUUGAAUUUCGGGAUUGGGAUAUAUCGGUCAUGCCUUUAGGGGCAUGAAUCGGUGUGUAGCCAAUUUCUCACCUUCUGGUGAAUUGGGAUGCUCUUGGGUGUUUCAAUGAACUAGGACUUUUACUUUGAAAAAAUUAGAGUGUUUAAAGCGGGCAUUUUUGCUUGAAUACAUUAGCAUGGAAUAAUAAAAUAGGACGAUGGUUCUAUUUUGUUGGUUUUAGGACCACGUAAUGAUUAAUAGGGAUAGUUGGGGGCAUUAGUAUUCAAUAGUCAGAGGUGAAAUUCUUGGAUUUAUUGAGGACUAACUACUGCGAAAGCAUUUGCCAAGGAUGUUUUCAUUAAUCAAGAACGAAAGUUAGGGGAUCGAAGACGAUUUAUGUACGUCGUAGUCUUAACCAUAAACUAUGCCGACUAGGAAUCAGACAAAGUUCAUUUUUUAACGACUUGUUUGGUACCUUACG